GCUCAGUUUUCCAGCAGCCGCAGACACCCAGAGCAAAAAUGAAUUUGUGUAUUUCAUUUAACACAAAGGGUGAAAUGUUUGCCGACACUGAUAACAGCUUAUGUUUUCUCUGCCUUAUGCAUGAUGGAGAAUGAACAUCCUCUGUGUCAGCUGGACCCUCAGCAGAGAAUGAACUCAACAUCCUUUUUGUCCGGUACUCUAUGUCACACACUGUGCCAAAAAAAAAAACGUGUACAGACGCCACUACCAGGUAAUCCCAUGACUGGGAGCCACACUUUUGUUUCUAUCACACUGUUCAACAACAUGAUAAGUGCUCACACCAGUGAAGGCCAAACAGUGAUUUUGUCACAUAACUCAGACAUAGGUUAUGGCAUAACUACACCAUGUCGACACAUAGAUCUAACCUACCCACUGUACUAUUUCUGCAGUUACAUUGCCAGCUGAAUACCAGAAUAUGACAUUAUGGUCAAAAAGUGAGAAUGAUAUAAGGAUUUAUUGACUGUACACUUUAUCACACACACCUAUUAAAACACAACAAGCCAGUAUAUGUCAAGCAAAUAUCCCAUUUCUGCCGAAAAAGCCGCAGCCCUAGAUGUCAUGAUAGGAGAUUUAUUGACUACAGGAGUAAUAAAGCCCACACUCCUGUCAAUCCUGUGCCAAAGCCUAACAAACCUGGCGUA
rnacentral:lncRNA from 1 species